AUGAUAGAAAAUCCACGUCAGGAUACGUCUUCACUCUCGCCGGGGAGCUAUUUCGUGGAAAAGCUCCAAAUAGUCGAUAGUUGCAUCAUCCAUGAUGUAUGCAGAAUUCAUAGCAUGCUUCGAAGCCACGGGGCAGGCGAUAUGGCUAAAGAAAUUUGUACCCGACUUGAAAGUGGUAGAUUGUAUUCACAAACCACUAAAGAUGUAUUGUGA
rnacentral:rRNA from 1 species